UCCCUGGUGGCUCAAAGGGUACAGGGUCUGCCUGCAAUGCAGGAGACCCAGGUUCAAUGCCUGGGUUGGGAA
rfam:TPA: Bos taurus chromosome 15, whole genome shotgun sequence.